GAUGAACGCUAGCGGGAGGCCUAAUACAUGCAAGUCGAACGGCAGCGGGGGCUUCGGCCUGCCGGCGAGUGGCGCACGGGUGAGUAACGCGUACGCAACCUACCCUAUACCGGGGCAUAGUCACGGGAAACUGUGAAUAAUUCCGUAUGUGUUUCAGAGGCCGCAUGGCUUUUGGAAUAAAACUCAGGUGGUAGAGGAUGGGCGUGCGUCUGAUUAGGUAGUUGGUAGGGUAACGGCCUACCAAGCCUACGAUCAGUAGGGGGCGUGAGAGCGUGGCCCCCCCACACGGGUACGUGAGACACGGACCCGACUCCUACGGGAGGCAGCAGUAAGGAAUAUUGGUCAAUGGUGGGAACACUGAACC
rnacentral:rRNA from 1 species